CUUGUAGCCUCUAGAACUCUGAGGAGUGGACUGCCUGCAAAUGGGUGCCACAACAAAGACCAUGAGAAGACCACACCUCAAAAUGGGGAGAAGUGGAGACAUCAGCAGCACUGUUGGCUCAAAGCCGGGAGCUGCACUUGCAGCUCUGCCCUUGACCCUAUGACCAGGGACUGACUUGGGCCCCCACAUCCAGCCUGCAGACAGGCUCUUACCUGGCCAUGGGCAGUGGUACCCAGCAGGGCAGGGGAGGCACUCCGCCUGACUAUGGCCUCCAUCUGUUGCCAGGUUCAGCAGCCUGAACGGGGGCUUGGCUCUGGCUCUCCAGUCCUCAUCCAUGAUGCCCCAGAACUCAACCUUCCAUCUGAGAGCUGAACUCGCUCCUCCAAUGUUCUCUGAAUAAUGGAAGUGUCAGAGCAGAGGGAUUCAAGGGUCCUGGCCAAGGAUCAGCUGCCCUAUCUGCCUUCACAUGUUCCUGAGGACCCAGAGACUCCAGGCUGCCCCCUGACCACUGGAGAUGGCUGCAAAGGGGGCGUCCUCUGGAAGAUGGUCAGCAGCCUCUAGAGGAAGCAGACAUCCUGGACGCUGACCUCCAGGGCCUAAUGCUCUGCCCCCUCUCCUGACCUGCACCUCGAGGGGGAUGUGUAGAGGGUCUGCUCUGGGAGUCUUGGCUGUGGCCCCCACCUACCCAAGAAAGCCAAUGCCCACGAUCAGCUCAGCUUCUGGGUGGCCCAUGGGGCACCAUUCGGUGUCCACUGACUGCAACCCCCUCCCCCCAACACCCGUCCUCUCUGUCCACCUCCCGGCAAACCUGUGGUGGAUUCAGCAGGUCUGAGUGAGACAGAGGUGGGCUGGGAGGCCGCAGGUGUGACCGUAAAUGGGCAGGGCAGCCAGACCACAGCACGCCUCAGCCAUCUGACUCCAGCCCCUCUUACAUACGUCCCCUCCAUCCUCAAACCACCCACAGCCCAUCGGUGCCAAACCAUGAGAGCCCCCACCUCAGGGCGUUGGGUGGUACAGGGCUCACCCGCUCCCAGGGGGCUCCACACCUGUCGGGGUUGGGGAGGAGGCUCCUGCCAGACAGAAGUAGCCGGGGGAGCAGGGGCCAGAGGGCGCAGCCAGGCCAGAGGCACCACAGAAAUGGCCAGGGGGACAGGACAGGCCCUCAGAGACCAUGGAGAGAAACAUUCUGGGGAGACAGAAAGAAACCCAGGAGAUGAGCCAGGGAGGGGAGCAGGCGGGAGGAAGGGGCUGUGGGACCAGGCCUCUCUGAAAGUGUGGACCCAGGCGCACCCUGGCAGGGACCACCUUUCCGCGAUUUCCUUUUCAUCUCUCCUCUCUCAGGCUCCCUGUGACUCCUGCCUACACUGGCUCCAGGUAGCAUUUCCGGCAGGUGCCUGAGGGAAAGUGUGGCAGGGCUCUUCUCUCUGUCUCUCUUUCCCCUCUGAGAUAUGCACCUGGUUAUAAUUCUUCUCUGUCUUAAUCCCAAUUCAAGCUCAGGCCGUCCAGGGCCACAGACCUCUGUGAUCUGGCAGCUACAAUCAGAACAUCUAACAGUGCCCCACACUACCCCCCGCCCUCCCCUGAGCCAUCAGCUCCACGACUGGCCCUUGCUUUGGGCUGUCUUCUCUUGGGAGCUGGGAGGGUCCUAAAGAUGAGGAGAUGGGUCUGGUCUCAAAAGAGAUAUCGGCAGACACAAAUUCUUAAUGGCUUUGCUUUCUUGAGUAUGACGUGUUCUCAAGCCCCUCAAAGCCCGCAUGGCCUGCCCUCGAUCUGGCCCCUCCAACCGACACUCCCCAAGGCUUUCUGCCCUCGCAGCCCAGGUGGAAGUCCGGCUCUCCAAGCCUCACACUCUCCCAUGGCUGGGGGAUGUUGUUGGUCAGCUGUUAAGUGGAAAGGAGGACCGAGAGGAGGUCUGGGCUCAGCCCCUGGGACCAGGGCAGUGGCACUCAUACUCACUAACCUGAGAAGGUGCCCAUAGGGCAGGGCAGGGCCACCCCUGUGCCCACUGGACAGAAGUGACCUAGAGGGCAGGGCCCUCCCGCAGUCACAUGGAUGCCUUUAUUGGGAUGAGUGACCUCAGCUCUUGCCCAGAGAAUCAGAAGUGGCUGAGAUUGCAGAGCAGCCCUCCCUGGCCCCCAGUCAGGCUCUCGACCACCCCCAGCUCACACACCCCUGCAGUGGGACAUUUCCCAGAAUAAGGGAGCAGAGCUCGCGAGCUGGAGUGACAGUGCCCUCCACUGCCAGGGUGGCUCUCAAGCCCAGGGACGGCAGUGGGCCCUGAGAUGCGGCCCCUUCUGAAUUAAUUCUUGGCUAUCUGUGCCAGACCCUGCUUAGGAGCCCAAAGCUGGGGAGAAAGCAUGGGGGUUCCAGGACUUGCCCAUCCUGUGGAAAGGUGGGUGUGGUGCCUUCAGCCCCACUCUUGGUGUGGAGGGCACUGCAAGGCACUGAAGAGUUGGGGCUCCAGACCCCACUCAGGGAGCCUCCAGAUGAGUGUUCUAGAAACCUGCUUCCACUCCAGCUAAGCUUGUUUUCAUUUACAUAUUCAUUAUGUCAUCACUUAUGGUUUGCUCAAACCCUUUCUGAAUGAGAUGGACCUAAUUUAAUAAAAAUUACACUGACAAGUACUCUAAGGAGAAG
rnacentral:lncRNA from 1 species